ACAAGUUAAUCAGCUAGACUUGUUAUCAGACACACNCAAUCUAUGGCUAUAUCGAUGGGUUCCAAGGAAUCUGUAGCUGAUAAGCCUCAUGCUGUAUGUGUUCCAAACUCCAACUCAAAGCCACAUAAAGGCAAUGCUCAAACUAGCAAAGCUCCUACACCAUAGGGGUUUCCACAUUACCUUUGUCAACACAGAGUUCAACCACAAACGCUUUCUUAAAUCUCAAGGACCCAACUCCCUCGACGGCUUGCCCGAUUUUCGCUUCGAGUCCAUCCCCGAUGGCAUGGCUGCAGGUUCGGAUGAUAAUGCCACCCAAGACGUCAUCUUGCUUUGUGAUGCUAUCAUCAUGAAAGACCAAAUGCUGUCUCCUUUUCGAGAACUACUGGUGAAGCUCAAUGGCCAAGACAUUGGUCCUCCGGUGACUUGCGUCGUUUACGAUGGUUUCAUGCCGUUUGCGAUCACAGCUGCUGAAGAACUUGGAGUGCCUACAGUAGUCUUCUUCCCUGUUUCUGCUUGCUGCUUUAUGGGAUGUAAACAAUAUCCCACUUUGAUUGAAAAAGGACUUGCACCACUGAAAGAUGAGAGCUGUUUGACAAAUGGGUUUUUGGACAAGGUAUUAGAUUGGGUUCCAGGAAUGAAAGAUAUCCGUUUGAGGGAUUUACCCACCCACUUUCGAACUACGAACCCCGACGACAUCCUGUUUAACAUCACCAUGAAAUCAAUCCAUAGAGCUGAGAAAGCUUCGGCAAUAAUUUCUCAUACUUUUGAUGCUUUGGAGCCUCAAGUUCUGGAGGCUCUCUCAUCUAUGACGAAGCUCCCACCUGUGUAUGCAAUUGGACCUCAACAAUUACACCUCAAUCAAUUGCCAGAGGACCCUUUGAAGAAUAUGGGAUAUAGUCUAUGGAAGGAAGAGGCUGAGUGUCUCAAAUGGCUUGAUUCUAAGGAGCCGAACUCUGUUAUUUACGUCAGUUUUGGCAGUAUAGCGGUAAUGUCACCGCAGCAUCUUGUAGAGUUUGGUUGGGGACUUGCAAAUAGUAAGGUUUGUUUCAUCUGGGUGAUCAGGCCCGAUUUGGUUGUUGGUGAGUCCGCGAUUUUGCCGCCGGAGUUUGUAGCUGAAACCAAGGAAAGAGGUCUAAUUGCGAAUUGGUGUCCGCAGGAGCAAGUACUCAACCACCCGUCAGUCGGAGGGUUUUUGACACACUGCGGUUGGAAUUCGAUGAUUGAGAGUCUGUGUGCAGGUGUGCCUAUGCUGUGCUGGCCAUUCUUUGCCGACCAGCAAACAAAUUGUUGGUCUGCUUGUAAUGAAUGGGGCAUUGGCAUGGAGAUCAAUAAUGAUGUGAAGAGAGACGAAGUCGAGAAGCUUGUUAGACAGAUGAUGGGGGGAGAGAAGGGUGAGAAAAUGAGAAGCAAGGCCUUGGAGUGGAAGAAGCUUGCGGAAGAAGCUACUGCUCCCCAUGGUUCAUCUUCCCAAAACUUGGAAAAUUUAGUGAAUGAAGUUAUGCUCCGGCAAACAGAAGGGCAUAUCUAAUUUCUAGUUAGUAACUUAAAGAUGUUAUGAUUGUUAUCCAUGCUUAAUUUGUAACAAGGCACGCACCUACUAGUACUUAGGAAUGCGCGUAAUUUUGUUUCUCAAUUUUAUGUUUCGGUGGAGGAUCGAUAGUUCUUAUAUAGCUAUCAAGUGUACUCUUGUAUGAUGUAUUGUAAUCGAUUUUUGAUCAAUUAUAUAUAUUUUGA